rnacentral:rRNA from 1 species
UACAGGGGGUGCAAACGUUGCUCGGAAUCAUUGGGCGUAAAGCGCACGUAGGCGGUCUGUUAUGUCGGAUGUGAAAGCCCUUGGCUCAACUGAGGAAGUGCAUCCGAAACUGGCAGGCUAGAGUACGAAAGAGGAUCGCGGAAUUCCCGGUGUAGAGGUGAAAUUCGUAGAUAUUCGGAAGAACACCAGUGGCGAAGGCGGCUCACUGGCCCGGUACUGACGCUGAGGUGCGAAAGCGUGGGGAGCAAACAGG